rnacentral:rRNA from 1 species
CAACGAAUAUUCCGCAAUGGGCGAAAGCCUGACGGAGCGACGCCGCGUAUGGGAUGAAGUCUUUCGGGAUGUAAACCGUAAUAGUCUGUUCGCAAGUGACCCGGGCUAAUAUCCCGGGAAGUUGAGCAGCAGAUGAAAGGGGCGGCUAACUCCGUGCCAGCAGCCGCGGUAAUACGGAGGCCCCGAGCGUUGUUCGGAUUUACUGGGCUUAAAGCGCGUGUAGGCGGAUCGGUACGUACCUUGUGAAAGCCCUCGGCUCAACCGAGGAAUUGCUCGGUAUACGGCCGGUCUUGAGGCAGGUAGAGGUGCCUGGAACCUUAGGUGGAGCGGUGAAAUGCGUAGAUAUCUAAGGGAACGCCGGUGGCGAAAGCGGGGCACUGGGCCUGUCCUGACGCUAAGACGCGAAAGCGUAGGGAGCAAACG